ACGGGUGAGUAACACGUAAAGAACCUGCCUCAUAGACGGGGACAACUAUUGGAAACGAUAGCUAAUACCGGAUAACAACAUAAACCGCAUGGUAUAUGUUUAAAAGUUGGUUUCGGCUAACACUAUGAGAUGGCUUUGCGGUGCAUUAGCUAGUUGGUGGGGUAAAGGCCUACCAAGGCGACGAUGCAUAGCCGACCUGAGAGGGUGAUCGGCCACACUGGGACUGAGACACGGCCCAGACUCCUACGGGAGGCAGCAGUAGGGAAUCUUCCGCAAUGGGCGAAAGCCUGACGGAGCAACGCCGCGUGAGUGAAGAAGGAUUUCGGUUCGUAAAGCUCUGUUGUUAGGGAAGAAUGAUUGUAUAGUAACUAUAUACAGUAGAGACGGUACCUAACCAGAAAGCCACGGCUAACUACGUGCCAGCAGCCGCGGUAAUACGGAGGAUGCGAGCGUUAUCCGGAUUUAUUGGGUUUAAAGGGUGCGUAGGCGGCCUGUUAAGUCAGCGGUGAAAUCUAGGAGCUUAACUCCUAAAUUGCCAUUGAUACUGGCGGGCUUGAGUGUAGAUGAGGUAGGCGGAAUGCGUGGUGUAGCGGUGGAAUGCAUAGAUAUCACGCAGAACUCCGAUUGCGAAGGCAGCUUACUAAGGUACAACUGACGCUGAAGCACGAAAGCGUGGGUAUCAAACAGGAUUAGAUACCCUGGUAGUCCACGCAGUAAAC
rnacentral:rRNA from 1 species